rnacentral:rRNA from 1 species
GAGUUUGAUCUUGGCUCAGGAUGAACGCUGGCGGCGUGCCUAAUACAUGCAAGUCGAGCGAACGGACGAGAAGCUUGCUUCUCUGAUGUUAGCGGCGGACGGGUGAGUAACACGUGGAUAACCUACCUAUAAGACUGGGAUAACUUCGGGAAACCGGAGCUAAUACCGGAUAAUAUUUUGAACCGCAUGGUUCAAAAGUGAAAGACGGUCUUGCUGUCACUUAUAGAUGGAUCCGCGCUGCAUUAGCUAGUUGGUAAGGUAACGGCUUACCAAGGCAACGAUGCAUAGCCGACCUGAGAGGGUGAUCGGCCACACUGGAACUGAGACACGGUCCAGACUCCUACGGGAGGCAGCAGUAGGGAAUCUUCCGCAAUGGGCGAAAAGCCUGACGGAGCAACGCCGCGUGAGUGAUGAAGGUCUUCGGAUCGUAAAACUCUGUUAUUAGGGAAGAACAUAUGUGUAAGUAACUGUGCACAUCUUGACGGUACCUAAUCAGAAGGCCACGGCUAAC